rnacentral:rRNA from 1 species
AUUGAACGCUGGCGGCAGGCCUAACACAUGCAAGUCGAGCGGAUGAAGGGAGCUUGCUCCUGGAUUCAGCGGCGGACGGGUGAGUAAUGCCUAGGAAUCUGCCUGGUAGUGGGGGAUAACGUCCGGAAACGGGCGCUAAUACCGCAUACGUCCUGAGGGAGAAAGUGGGGGAUCUUCGGACCUCACGCUAUCAGAUGAGCCUAGGUCGGAUUAGCUAGUUGGUGGGGUAAAGGCCUACCAAGGCGACGAUCCGUAACUGGUCUGAGAGGAUGAUCAGUCACACUGGAACUGAGACGCGGUCCAGACUCCUACGGGAGGCAGCAGUGGGGAAUAUUGGACAAUGGGCGAAAGCCUGAUCCAGCCAUGCCGCGUGUGUGAAGAAGGUCUUCGGAUUGUAAAGCAUUUUAAGUUGGGAGGAAGGGCAGUAAGUUAAUACCUUGCUGUUUUGACGUUACCAACAGAAUAAGCACCGGCUAACUUCGUG